rnacentral:rRNA from 1 species
UACCAGCACCCCGAGUGGUCGGGACGAUUAUUGGGCCUAAAGCAUCCGUAGCCGGUUCUGCAAGUCCCCCGUUAAAUCCAGCUGCUCAACAGAUGGGCCGCGGAGGAUACUACAGAGCUAGGAGGCAGGAGAGGCAAGCGGUACUCAGUGGGUAGGGGUAAAAUCCGUUGAUCCAUUGAAGACCACCAGUGGCGAAGGCGGCUUGCCAGAAUGC